rnacentral:rRNA from 1 species
UGAGGAAUAUUGGACAAUGGGUUAGCGCCUGAUCCAGCCAUCCCGCGUGAAGGACGACGGCCCUAUGGGUUGUAAACUUCUUUUGUAUAGGGAUAAACCUUUCCUCGUGAGGAAAGCUGAAGGUACUAUACGAAUAAGCACCGGCUAACUCCGUGCCAGCAGCCGCGGUAAUACGGAGGGUGCAAGCGUUAUCCGGAUUUAUUGGGUUUAAAGGGUCCGUAGGCGGACUCGUAAGUCAGUGGUGAAAUCUCACAGCUCAACUGUGAAACUGCCAUUGAUACUGCGGGUCUUGAGUAAGGUAGAAGUGGCUGGAAUAAGUAGUGUAGCGGUGAAAUGCAUAGAUAUUACUUAGAACACCAAUUGCGAAGGCAGGUCACUAUGUCUUAACUGACGCUGAUGGACGAAAGCGUGGGGAGCGAA